UUUGCGAACUGCUCAGUAACACGUGGAUAACCUGCCCUAUGCUCUGGAAUAACCUCGGGAAACUGAGAAUAAUACCGGAUAGAUCACAACGCCUGGAACGGUGUGUGGUUGAAAGAUUACGGCAUAGGAUGGGUCUGCGGCGUAUCAGGUUGUAGGGGGUGUAACGGACCUCCUAGCCAUCGACGCGUACGGGUGUUGGGAGACAUAGCCCGGAGAUGGAUUCUGAGACACGAAUCCAGACCCUACGGGGUGCAGCAGGCGCGAAAACUUCACACUGCAGGAAACUGUGAUGAGGGAACUCCAAGUGCGUGCACUUAGUGUGCGCUUUUGUUGACUAUUAAUCGGUCAAUGAAUAAGGGCUGAGAAAGACCGGUGCCAGCCGCCGCGGUAAUACCGGCAGCUCAAGUGGUCGUCGCUUUUAUUGGGCCUAAAACGUCCGUAGCCUGUUUGGUAAAUCUGUGGGUAAAUCAACCAGCUUAACUGGUUGAAUUCUGCAGAGACUGCCAGACUAGGGACCGGGAGAGGUGUGGGGUACUCUAGGGGUAGGGGUAAAAUCCUGUCAUCCUUAGAGGACCACCAGUUGCGAAGGCGCCACACUGGAACGGAUUCGACGGUCAGGGACGAAGCCUAGGGGCACGAACCGGAUUAGAUACCCGGGUAGUCCUAGGUGUAAACGCUGUGAACUUGGUGUCGGGGAUCCGUCAUGGGUCCCCGGUGCCGGAGUGAAGAUGUUAAGUUCACUGCCUGGGGAGUACGGUCGCAAGGCUGAAACUUAAAGGAAUUGGCGGGGGAGCACUGCAACGGGAGGAGCGUGCGGUUUAAUU
rnacentral:rRNA from 1 species